AAAUACAAAAGUACAAAAAUUUUUUAAAUCUAUUUUUUUUUUUUUUUGUUAAUUUUCUGUAUAACAUUUAAAUUUUUAUUUUUCAAAUGUUAAUAAACUGGUGCACAAAAUAUUUUAUUAUUAUUUUACAUUCUUUGAUUAAUGAUUAUCAUUUAAAUGUAAUAUUUUUAUUUGUGAAAGAUGAAUAAACUUAAAAUAUCAACUGAAUUUCAAAUUUAUCAUCAUUAAAAAGAAAUGCUAUUUUAUCAUGAUAUAAAUACAUUCAUUUAGAAAUUGCAAAAUUAUUUAUCGGAAUGGACAAAAUGUAACAAAAAUAGAUCAAUCAAACACUGUAAAGGAAAAACGAUUUAUACUGAUGGGGGCCAAUAACCAAAUGAAUAUAAACAUGGCACAAAUAUAGAAUCAAAUUUUAAAGCAUAAUUAUAAAUUUAAACAUGGUAUCCAAAAACUGGCAAUCCUGGGAUAUCAGCAGAAUAAAACUUCUAUUGUUUUGUCCAUUAUUUAAAAACAAAAUUUCAUUUCGUCUUAAGUUUUGACUAUAACAACAAAACAUAAUUGACCAAACUAUUACAAAAGAAUUUUAUUUCUGAAUUACCUUAUUAUAAUUGGCAAAUUCUAAUAUCAAAAAUGAUGACUGUAUUUUGUAAAAAGGUUAUAAAUAUAGUUAGAAGACUUAUCAAAGAAUUUCAGUAAUUUAGAUGUUAAUUGAUUUGGGAAUUUAAUUGAUUAGGAAUAGGAAUAUAAUUUUGUGGAAAAUUAUGAUCUUUAUCUAAUAAAUGAAAAUAUUCAGAUUUCUGGAUUACUAAUGUCAAUUAUAACAGUUUAACAUUUUUCUGAAACUGCUUGCUGUUUGAUUUGAAAUUUUUGAAUUUAUGAAGAGAAUAUUUUCAAAAUAAGAAAUGUUUUCCAAGUUGCUUCACUCAAUCUGUAAGAAACUAAUUGUAAAAUUUAUAUCUGAGGAAACAAAGUGUGCAUUUAAAUUCAUCAACAGUGUACUUAGGCUUAGAUUUACAGACAGCAUAGAUUUCAUUUUUGUAAUUCAGGGGUCAAGAUUAACAGUACUAUGGAUAAAAAUAGAUCAAAUUAUGUAUAGAUGUGUUCAAUGUAUAAUAAAUAUAAUAAGUGCUGUUGUAUAUAUGCCAAAAAAUUUUAUUCAAUGUUGUGAAAAUAUAAAAAUUAAAAGAAAUACUAUGACUUAAUUUGUGUUAUAGAAUUUUAAAAUAUUUUAUUGUUAUAUAUAGUUUUUAUAAAAAAGAAAAUCAAUAAAUUUUCUGAAUUAAAUUCUGUCGUAACUUUAUUCAUUAAUCGGUUUGUCACCGAAUUAUGUAAGGAUAUAAUUAUGGGAGUCAGUCCCGCACCAGUCUUAAUGGAAAGAUGGUAUUAAAUAGUCGGGUCUGGACAUCACCAAAAAAUCUGAAGAUCUAAGAUAAGGAAUAAAAUCUGGAUUCUCUGGGUGAUAAUUGGAUGUGAAAAGAGAGAGUCAUUUUAUCAGAUGCUUUUAAAGUUUAAUUCUAUAAAAAAUUGUUUUACACAAAAAACAAUCAAUUAUUUUUAUCAUAAUUUACACUUAUAUUGUCCAAUGUAUAAAUAAUUAAGUUUUUAUAAUAUAAAAAGUUUAUCCACAGAAUUAGAUGGCAGAUUUACUAGUUGUUCAAAUUAUUUUGAUAAAAUAUUUUUCAUUAUGCAUUUAAAAUACAAAUGCCUAUAUUAUGUAUAUGUUAUGGGUAAUGUGCAAAAUCCAGAUAAUGUGGAGAUUAACUGGGAGAUGUCAACAUUAUCCAAGUACAAUGGAUAAAGACAGAAAUAGAUAUUAAUUUAUCUCA
rnacentral:lncRNA from 1 species